CUACGGGGUGCUCCAGUGAGGAAUAUUGCACAAUGGGGGGAACCCUGAUGCAGCAACGCCGCGUGGAGGAUGACGCAUUUCGGUGUGUAAACUCCUUUUAUAUGUCAAGAAAAUGACGGUAGCAUAUGAAUAAGCACCGGCUAACUCCGUGCCAGCAGCCGCGGUAAUACGGAGGGUGCAAGCGUUACUCGGAAUCGCUGGGCGUAAAGGACGCGUAGGCGGGUUGGAAAGUCAGGUGUGAAAUCCUACAGCUUAACUGUAGAACUGCACUUGAAACUUCUAAUCUAGAGUAUGGGAGGGGGAGAUGGAAUUAGUGGUGUAGGGGUAAAAUCCGUAGAUAUCACUAGGAAUACCUAAAGCGAAGGCGAUCUCCUGGAACAUUACUGACGCUAGGGCGUGAAAGCGUGGGGAGCAAACAGGAUUAGAUACCCGCGUAGUC
rnacentral:rRNA from 1 species